AGUGAACGCUGGCGGUAGGCCUAACACAUGCAAGUCGAACGGCAGCACAGUAAGAGCUUGCUCUUACGGGUGGCGAGUGGCGGACGGGUGAGGAAUACGUCGGAAUCUACUUUUUCGUGGGGGAUAACGUAGGGAAACUUACGCUAAUACCGCAUACGACCUACGGGUGAGAGCAGGGGAUCUUCGGACCUUGCGCGAUUGAAUGAGCCGAUGUCGGAUUAGCUAGUUGGCGGGGUAAAGGCCCACCAAGGCGACGAUCCGUAGCUGGUCUGAGAGGAUGAUCGGCCACACUGGAACUGGGACACGGUCCAGGCUCCUACGGGAGGCAGCAGUGGGGAAUAUUGGACAAUGGGGGCAAGCCUGGUCCAGCCAUCCCGCGUGGGUGAAGAAGGCCUUCGGGUUGUAAAGCCCUUUUGUUGGGAAAGAAAAGCAGCAGGUUAAUACCACGCUGUUCUGACGGUACCCAAAGAAUAAGCACCGGCUAACUUCGUG
rnacentral:rRNA from 1 species